rnacentral:rRNA from 1 species
UGACAGGUGGUGCAUGGUUGUCGUCAGCUCGUGUCGUGAGAUGUUGGUUAAGUCCCGCAACGAGCGCAACCCUCGACCUUAGUUGCCAGCAUUCAGUUGGGCACUCUAAGGUGACUGCCGGCUAAAAGUCGGAGGAAGGUGGGGAUGACGUCAAAUCAUCAUGCCCCUUAUGACCUGGGCUACACACGUGCUACAAUGGGCGGUACAAAGGGUCGCGAACCCGCGAGGGGGAGGCCAAUCCCAAAAAGCCGCUCUCAGUUCGGAUUGCAGGCUGCAACUCGCCUGCAUGAAGCCGGAAUCGCUAGUAAUCGCGGAUCAGCAUGCCGCGGUGAAUACGUUCCCGGGCCUU